AUUGAACGCUGGCGGCAGGCCUAACACAUGCAAGUCGCACGAGUGUCGGACGGUUGAGUAAUGUCUGGGAAACUGCCCGAUGGAGGGGGAUAACUACUGGAAACGGUAGCUAAUCACGCAUACCAUCGGAUGUGCCCAGAUGGGAUUAGCUAGUAGGUGGGGUAACGGUUCACCUAGGCGACGAUCCCUAGCUGUUCUGAGAGGAGUACAAGACACACUGGGACUAAGACACGUUCCAGACUCCUACGGGAGGCAGCAGUGGGGAAUAUUGCACAAUGGGCGCAAGCCUGAUGCAGCCCUGCCGCGUGUAUGAAGAAGGCCUUCGGGUUUUAAAGUACUUUCAGCGAGGAGGCGUUACUCGCAGAAGAAGCACCUGCUAACUCCGUGCCAGCAGCCGCGGUAAUUC
rnacentral:rRNA from 1 species